GCUCAGUCACUGGCUCAGUUGGUAGAGCAUUGCGCUAACAACACAAAGGUUGUGGGUUCAAGUCCCAGGGAAAGCA
rnacentral:tRNA from 1 species